rnacentral:ncRNA from 2 species
AUCUUAUCCAGAGUGGUGGAGGGACUGGCCCUAUGAAACCCGGCAACCCGUUUGAAGGUGCUAAAUCCAGCAGGAACACAUCCUGAAAGAUAAGAU